UGCUGGAGUCCGAGGGCGGCGGCAGGAGCAGCCCUUACCCUGCGUGCGGCGGGUCGCGGCCCGCCCCCUUCGUGCCCGGCGGCGGGAGAGCGCCCGGGCAGGGCUGGCGCUUUGGAGGUCGCUGAAGCAGCCGGUUGUUAAUAUCCACAGAUGUCAGCGGGGUCCUGACGUGCGGGGGCUCUGCCCGAAGGCCCAAGUCCCUGCCCGCCUCCGUCCAACUCUAGUCCCGGGGCCAGUGCAGAAGCGGGCGGGGAGGCGAGAGGAGCAGCAAAGGAAGCGGGAAGCUGGGCCGGACCCACCUAGAGACCGACCAGAUCAGCAAAGGAGGCAGGCUAGGAUUGGAUGGCACUGAUUUAAGGGUCAGGCGUCUUUGCAGCCUGAGCACAAGAAACGGACCUCAAGGAACAGCAGCCCCUCGGGGACUUCUGUAAUUUGAAUGGCACCUGGUUUUGAAAUUUAACCUAUAACUGUUCCUCUCCAUGGACAGCUUUAGUAAAAGGCGAAAAAUGUCUGCGAUCUGAAGAGAAACCAGAGCGUAUUGCGUACCUGCAUGCAGAGAGGUGGGGGGAGUCUUCAGGCAGAGGCAAGCCUGGGCCUGCACAGAUCUACUGACCUGCUUUUCUCCUCGAACCUCCCAGCACCUGUCAGAGGAUCUGGCAGCACCAUUGGGUGCCCUAGCACCCGGAUGAGGCAACAUGUCCCUAAAGGAUCCUGAAGACACAGAUAAAGGGACUUCCUUCUAGAGCACUUUCUGGAGUGUCUCCUGGAGGAUCAAAGGGGCAUGAGUUAGGAGACCCAAGGGUGUAUAAAUCUACUGCAAACACAACUGUCCUCAGGCUGUACAAUCACCAAGGCAGGAAGCUUUCAAAAUGAAGCUGUUCCUGGGUAUCAUUCUUGCCUUUAGUAUCUCAGUGACAUUAUGCAGGUCACAAUGCUUUUUCUAUCCACUUCGAGGCAAUCCAGCAGCUUGUUACCACAAUGGAGUGCGGUACCAGUUUGAGGACACCUGGGAGGCCAGGGACUGCUUAAAGUGCACAUGUAGCUCAGCUGGAGUGCAGUGCUGCAAAA